GUAAAUAUCCCGUAUUGUGCCCCCCCCACCCCCGCCCCACUCACCUGUCCUGCUCCGCCCUCACGUUAGUCCCCCCGCAUCCAGGCCUUGCUAUGACCGCAGCACCGGACGGCGACAUUUCCCGAAUUCUCAAGUCCAAAACUUGACGAAUGCGCCUUCAGCUAAAGCAAGCAAGUUAAAUUAACCUUAAAACUACUUCUAACUUGCGUUUUGGAGUAUUGCCCAACGUGGUGAGGCAGGAAGUAUCAAAAUGCCUUCUUCAUUAACGGAGCCCUUCGGCAGUUACCCCUCUAUGGUAAACGGCUCCCCCCUCUGGCAGAAGCUCCAAUUGACCCACAUUCGCCCAAUUACAGCUCCUUCUUCAUUUCCUCUCGGCGCGUUUUGAAACUCAGAAGCAAGAGGGUGAAAGUGCCACAUGCGGCGUCUGGACGCUAACGAGAUCUAAAGGCUCUAUCACAGGGACAAAAAGCUCCGGGGGCGGGGGGAGCAGGCGAAAGGUGUCGUGGAAAAAAAGAGGAAGAAAUAUAGUGAGAGAGAAUGAAAGAAAUGCUAAAAAUGAUGGUGAACGAGAAAUAAUAGCAGGCUGAAAAAUGAAAACAGCACAUUUGUCUUGUUUUUUCACCCAAUAUCCAAGCAUUAAUUAAUUAAUACCAUUAGAGGAUUACA